UACGUAGGAUGCGAGCGUUGUCCGGAAUUAUUGGGCGUAAAGGGCGCGUAGGCGGCCUGGCAAGUGGAAGGUGAAAUCCCUCGGCUUAACCGAGGAACUGCCCUCCAAACUGCUUGGCUUGAGUCCGGGAGAGGUGAGUGGAAUUCCGAGUGUAGAGGUGAAAUUCGUAGAUAUUCGGAAGAACACCAGUGGCGAAGGCGACUUACUGGACACAUAUUGACGCUGAGGUGCGAAAGCGUGGGGAGCAAACAGG
rnacentral:rRNA from 1 species